GACGAACGCUGGCGGCGUGCCUAAUACAUGCAAGUCGAACGCAGUUGCGAACGGGUGAGUAACGCGUAGGUAACUGCCUCAUAGCGGGGGAUAACUAUUGGAAACGAUAGCUAAUACCGCAUACUGUGAGAUGGACCUACGUUGUAUUAGAUAGUUGGUGAGGUAAAGGUUCACCAAGGCGACGAUACAUCGCCGACCUGGGAGGGGGAGCGGCCAAACUGGGACUGGGACACGGCCCAGACUCCUACGGGGGGCAGCAGUAGGGAAUCGUCGGCAAAGGACGGAAAGUUGGCCGAGCAACGCCGCGGGAAGGAAGAAGGUUUUCGGAUCGGAAAGCUCUGUUGUUAGAAGAGCGGUAACUAACCAGAAAGGGACGGCUAACUACGUGCCAGCCGCCGCGGUAAUAC
rnacentral:rRNA from 1 species